CCAGAGCGGGUGUCGGUGUCCCGGUACCGGUUGUCCCGGGGCGGGUGUCGGUGACCCGGUACCGGUUGUCCCGGGGCGGGUGUCAGGGAUCCCAGGCCCGGUACCGGUGCCCGGGUCGGUGCCGGUUGUCCCGGAACCGGUGUCGGUGUCCGGGGCGGGUGUCACUGCCCGGUGUUGGUGUCCCGGUGCAGGUCCCGGUGUCACUGCCUGGUCUCGGUGUCACUGCCGGUGUCCCCGUGCCCCUGUCCCGUUCUCCCGUUCCCCCUGUCCUGCUGUCCCGUUAUCCCGGUGCCAUUGACCCGGUGUCCCGGUACCGUUAUCCCGCUGUCCCUGUCCCGCUGUCCCUGACCCGUUCCCCCUGUCCUGCUGUCCCCGUUAUCCAACUGUCCCCCUGUCCCACUGUCCCUGUCCCGUUGUCCCCGUGCCAUUGACCUGUUAUCCUGCUGUCCUGUUAUCCUGGUGUCCCGGUGUCCCGGUACCGUUAUCCCGCUGUCCCCCUGUCCCGUUAUCCAGUUAUCCCAUUAUCCUGUUAUCCCGGUUAUCCCGGUGUUCCUGUCCCCUUGUCCCGGUGUCCCGGUGCCAUUGACCCGGUGUCCCGGUACCGUUAUCCGGUUAUCCCAUUAUCCUGUUAUCCUGUAAUCCCAUAGUCCCAUUAUCCCGGUGUCCCUGUCCCAUUGUCCCGGUGUCCCGUUAUCCCGUUAUCUCGGUGUCCCAGUGCCAUUGACCCCGUGUCCUGGUACCGUUAUCCCGUUAUCCCUGUCCCCCUGUCCCCGUUAUCCCGUUAUCCCGUAAUAUCAUUAUCCUGUUAUCCUGGUGUCCCCGUUAUCGCUGUCCCUGUUAUCCCGAUAUCUCGGUGUCCCGGUGCCAUUGACCCGGUAUCCCAGUGUCCCCGUUAUCCCGUUAUCCCAUUCCCGUUCCCCCGCUGUCCCCGUUAUCCCGUUAUCGCUGUCCCCGUUAUCCCGUUCCCGUUCCCCCGCUGUCCCCGUUAUCCCGUAAUACCAUUAUCCAGUUGUCCCGCUGUCCCCGUUCCCCCGCUGUCCCCGUUAUCCCGUUAUCCCGUAAUACCGUUAUCCCGUUAUCCCGGUGUCCCCGUUCCCCCGCUGUCCCCGUUAUCCCGUAAUACCGUUAUCCGGUUAUCCCAUUCCCGUUCCCCCGUUCCCCCGUUAUCCCGUUAUCCCGUAAUACCGUUAUCCGGUUAUCCCGGUGUCCCCGUUCCCCCGCU
rnacentral:lncRNA from 1 species